CCCCUCCAGCAACACAUCCAGGCUCGGCAUGCGGUAUGGGCUGUGCACUUCAUCAUAGCGGCCCUCGGGCUAUCUAACGCGUCAUGUGGGCCAGGGACAGGUGGAGCUGCAGGAACCACAGGUGGUACCGGGGGACACAGGAGGGCAGGUGGUGGUCUCCAUCCCUGGGUCCGGACGCUCUCCACCUAUAUGCUGCUCACCCACCCCACCUUCCAACCGUGGGCCCUGAUGACCGCCAGCCAAGCCGGGCCCCGACUCGGCAGAAGUGACCUACCCACGGAUAUCAGCCGGAUUGUGGGCGCCCUGGGACACCUACCACUGCUCCGGGAUAUCGAGACCAGCCCCCUGUCCCCCGGACCGUGGUGCUGGGCAACCGUGUUGUGGGGUAACCCGUUGCUCCCCAAUACCGGUGAGGCAGACCCAGACAGUUUGAACCGCCACCCGGGCCUGGAGACGCACUUCGUGGGGAUCGCUACAUGCAGGAAACUGCAAACGGUGGGUGACCUAGUGCGGGUCUGGGACCUAGUGGUGCAUACUCGAGUGGCCUCCCUCCCCAGGUCGACCUUGUCACGACAAUCUAGCGUCACGUUCAUUUUACCGUCUUUAUAAUCGUCUUAGGUUAUAAUCGGUGUGAAUACACGAAUUUCGUGUAUAAUCGUGUAAGGUGUUUGGUUCUUAUCUUACACUUCGCUGAUCGACUUAUGGACGAGACGUGAAUGUAUGCUCGUUUGCGUAUGUUUUUGUAUUUUACCUGUUAAUUGUCUAUUUCUUGUGUGAAUGUUCUGUCACACGGUCAUAAGGUGUUUCACUUGUGUCAUUUGUGGACUAUACGUCGUGGUCGUACUCGAGGCUUGUCUUUUGAGGGCCUCCUGUGAUCAACAACUUGACUUCGGUAUUUAUAGCCGGCAGCGAGCUUGGAAAAGUCGCUUUACGGCUCAUGAUCGGAACAUUGUAAAGUUCUCUGAGCUAGACAACAAGCCCUGUGCGGACCUCCCUUCUCGUAAGCCACAUAAGUAACUUCCUUUCACCAGCCGAACUCCUGUGUGGGCCACUCAACGCCCAUAUCCUUCACGCCGGGCAUACUCAGUUGGUGAGGUAAAUCUUUGCCACUGUUGAUUGAUUGCCUGGAGGGAAUCUUGGCCCCUUUCGCGGGUUGCUAUUUGCUGCGUAUUACGACUUGCCCGUUCGUGUGCCGUCUAGUCAGCAUUCAAGCUACCUGCAGGACUUCGCCUAGACCACCCUGCAUUCCAUAGCCGUAAAGCCUAAAUCAGGCUAGAAGACCAAGUAAGUUCGGUUUUUGGUUUACCUUAGGUGUUCUGUCGCCUAGGGGAUAUUCGGGUUGCUUUUCGCAGCACCCUUUUUGGUAGGUUAGGUAGGCUAGGUCACGCCAGCCGCACCUGUUAGCAGUGUUACGCACAGCUGCCCUACUAUUCAGCAAUUUCGGGCCAUUUUCUACUGGGUCGAUUUGCUUUCGUAUUCGGUCACUCUGACAAUCGAUACUGUGUCACGCACAGCCGUCUGUUGGACACUCGAUCCCGAAUACUUUAUACAAUCAACUCGUUUUACCAUCUAGGCUUGGUCAGCCCAGCCUAACAUUAUUAUUAUAUAAUACAUUCAGCUCACCUGAACAGCAGGUUCGAGCUUCUCUGUGCUUAACGAUCAUUUCGCGUACCUUCGGCCGAAUUAUACGGGGUCACACCAAUUCUUUUGCUUUCACUAGCCUCAAUUCGCUACUGCAGUUUACAUCGAGGCAGUUAACCCCAGGCCACGCAGAGGACGCUCAGGGCGCAGUCCCUUUGGUUUUCACACCAACACUUUUCUUCACAGUGGUGUUCGGGCCACUCCAGUCAGACACCGGCACCAUCGGUUGAUUCCACAUAUCUUCGAGCCUCUUGGCAAAUCUCCUGAACUCACUUUUAUAGGUCUUUUGGCUCGCGGCGUUAGGGUCGACAUCGAGCCGCGACCGGUCAUUUGCAAUAUCCGCUACCUGUCAGCUGUGCAGCUAUAUCUGGACCUGGACCAGCUUCCCAGGCCGAGGCAAACUAUUGUUAUCAGCACAACAGGUGUUGCAAUUUCCUCUAUUUGAAUACGGAGACUUUUGUGCGCCUAAGCGCAAUGAUAUGAUGGAGUAAACGCUGCAAGCUUAUCGAGUCGGUACUCUACUCUUUCCCGACCCAGCGUUACCAAUUAUUCCAGCUGUUUUUACGCAGCUACUCUUUGUUUGCAGCUCAAUACUACGCAACUUUACAGCGACACCAGCUUAGGUGGGGCGGGUUUAGUACUCUUUAGUAGUCGCUAGGCUUUUUAUUGCUUAGUCCUUGCCUGUUCGCUUCGCGUUUGUUGCUGCAUCUUUUCCUUUUUCUUAUCUUGUUUUUCGUAAGCUAAUUGUUACACAGGGAAGCAUAAGUCCCACGGAGCCUCUACGUCGCAACAUCCCGCGGGCCGCCACUGCGCAACAUCUUCGCUCGACGACUCAGCGAGAUCAGCAGGAGGUAAGCAAGGUUUCGCGUAAGGAUACACGUAGGGUGUCCACCUCAGGGUCUAGUACUAGUGAAGCCGCCCGUAUUCCGCGCUCGCGUUCCGAUAGUGGCCUAGCAGUACAGGUGGAACUUCCCCUGACUAAGUUAGCUCUAACUGAGGGUGAGGUUACUGCUCCACUAGAAACCCGCGGAACAGAUUCCGAUAGGGAGAAGUGGUCGCGUCUCUUUGAAGCGCUAGGUAGGCCCCGCACCUACAUCAACCCUAUCUUUUCUAGGGAUAGCGACUCAGACGACGAAAUAAUGCAGAACCUCUACCCCACUCUCGACCCGUUCCAGCACAGCAGGUUGGAUUAUUUCCUCACUAAGGUUUUCCAGCAAGGAGUUGCCUACCCUCUUUCUAGGAACAACUUGUCUGUUGAGAGCCUUAAGUCGUACCUGGACGCUCUGCCUGGACGAAACACGCCAUUUGAAGCGUGGUACAACUCACACAGGCAAAACCUCAUAUCUAGGGUAACCCCAAAGUUUAGAAAAAAAAGUAUUCUCAUCUCAAUCUAUUGAGAUCUCAUGAGAUCUCAAUAGAAUGGGUUAUAUUCUAAUCUCAAGUUUUGGCAGCUUUCUGGGAAAUGCAUGACUGGCUCUGAAACUUUGUAGGAUGAUUCUGUAUGGUAUAUUUGUUAUAAUAAUUAAGUUUUGGGACGUUGCGAAGCACAAUUGCACGACAGAAACAAGCAAUUAUACUCCGCCGCAGUAUUGACCCAUGGGUCACAGCAUGCGAGGGCGCACUGGACGGUCGAGUUCACGCCACAGGCGCUUAUCCCUUUGAUGCUUCUUAAACUCCAUACCCUAAGGGUUAAAGUUUCAACGAAUCAGGGCCCAGAUCAUCAUUCCUAAGCCCUGGCAAUGCACAAAAGCCGACAUGGUAUGCCAUCAAGAUCCCAUGCUGGCCAAGUUCAGCAGACAUAGACUGCUACCAAUGCCGACCGAACAACUUGAAUCCCUAGCUACUUCACUCCUCCUCCUCCCCGGCCAGCAGCUGCAUCACCACCUCCUCAUCCGACAGGGUGUUGCGCUUGGCCGCGUAGCUGUCGUUCUGGCGGAUGAAGAUGAGCUUCAUCGCACGCAUCUGCCCCAGGCGGUUGUGGGCCUUGUGGAACAGGUUACCCCACAGCGACCAGUUGCGCUCUGAUGCGCAGGUGGUUGCGUGCAUGCGGAGGACGCGGUUGGCCACGAAAGCCAGGGCCGGAUACGAAUCCGCCAUAUGCACCGUCCAAAACUUCAGGCGCAACGGCAGCCCGGCCAGCUCAACCUUCUUCACCUUCGACUUGCCAACCGUCUGCUCGACCUCCUUGCGUGCAGUCAGCGUUGGCAUGAAAUCACGGCACUCAUCCGGUACCCUACCGGUCUAGUAAGGAAAUAUAUGGCUUCUAAAGAUUUAUAAAGAAUUAUAGUGCCGUACAUUAGAUAACGACCCAACCGUCUCCUCAAGUGCCAAAAAAGACCUUCUAAAUUCUCAAUGAGAUUCUCAAGAGAAAUAAUUAGAUUAGAAAACCGACUUUAGAUGAGUGCCAACCCUACUCAUAUCUAAAGCCGCAGCACACUUGGUGUAUCCGAACCAGGUGCGGCAGCCAACACCGUCUCCCCGCGUCAACUGUUUGACUAUUACGCCCACAUCCUAGAGGAAAACUUUGCCUCCGCGCGCGCUGAAAGUGAUCUUGCGCGCUUCAAAAGCAUGCAGCAGGGAGCUCUCUCUCCCAUAGUCUUCAAGGAUAUGCUGCUAGCGCUUGAGAAGAAGCUGGACGGUAGAGUCAGUAAACACCAAGUCGCCGAACGUUUCCUUGAGGGCUUAAACCCCGUGGUUCGGCAUCACCUGGAGAGGCACCUCAUCACCGUGGAGCGUACCAAAUGGUAUGAUCGUACCGGAUUGCCUGUGAAAUCUUUUGGUACUGUAUUGCCGAGGGUAUCACACUGCAGGCGGAGUGGCGGCCGCGAGAAGAAAACACUCUGGCGGACUACCUCUCAAAGCUGCAGGACCGGGACGACUGGAUGGUGAACCGUAAGGAAUUUCAGAGGCUCAACACCGCCUGGGGCCCCUUUGACAUUGAUCUUUUCGCGUCACACACCAAUCACCAGCUGCCACAAUACUAUUCCCGCUUUUUCACGCCAGAUACCGCGGGUGUAGAUGCCUUUCGGUUCCACUGGGGGCGGAAUUGCUGGGUGAAGGUCCUGCGGCACGCAGAGCUGUGCAAAGCACGCAUCUGUCUGAUCGUUCCCCUCUGGCCGACACACGACUGGUGGUCCUAUCUGACUCAAGACGGGAAGUGGUUUGCGCCUUGCGUCCACGGCCUAAGAGAGCUGGGCAAGGCGUAUGAUCUUUUCCUGCCAGGGUCUUCGGGAAACGAGGUCCCAAAAGGGUCCGCUAACUGGCUAUCGCUCGCACUUCUCAUCGAUUUCCAAACACCUUCCCCGCGCUGGAUCGCUGUGCCCCCCGACCCUUAUGCCCCCCGGCUUUCACAGGAAUAAGGGCACGCGUGCAGACACUGCUUGGCCAGGUGCCCUUGGACGCUAACCCAAUGAUCGGCGAUCUAGCUCUGGCGUUGGCAAGCCAGGCACACAAGGUGCGAGCUAGCAGCACAGUCGCCCAGUACAAGGAGCCAUGGCAGGAGUUCCUAGAUUGGGCAGAGCUACUACAUAUUCGGGCGAGCGACAUUUACGACAUCAGGCCAGAGAUAGUGGCCAUGUACCUGAUGCACGUCUACCAAACCGUGCAAGCGGAUGAAGUAGGUCCGGGUCGCAUCGCGGGAGCGAGCGCUGCUAUUGCCUGCCAUUUCUUCCUCACGGGCCGCCCCUCACCUACGGAGCACCCAGCAUGCAACCUCGUUCGGGACCUGGGCAGGCGCACACUGCAAGGGAAGAAGCUGCACAGGGAAAGCAUGCAACCAGAGCAUGUCCGCAUGUUGGCCGCUCACUUCGCUGGGCCGGAUGCCUCACUGCCAGACCUGAUGAUGGUAGCGGCCAUAUCAGUUAUGUUCGCGGGUUUCCUAAGGUUCAACGACCUAGCCCACAUCUCCGUCAAGUCUGAUCUGCUCACCCUGCACGACACUCACAUGGCCAUCACACUGCCUAGGUCCAAAACGGACCAGGAGGGCAAAGGGCAGACCAUCCGGAUCGCGCGCGUGGGGGGCGUGGCCUGCCCAGUGGGCUUGACAGAGAGGCUGCUGGCGCUUGGUAACUAUGUCCGUGUCCCCAGUUCCCCCGUGGAGGAUGUGGGUCCGCUGCUGUGCAGGGUUAAGACGACACAGCAAGGCCACCAGCUGCAGCAGAGGACCGGCUCUGUUCAGUCACCGAUCCCCAGCCUCAGCUAUACCUCCUUCCGGGAGAAGCUCGCUGCCAUGUGCAGCGCCGUGGGCAUCAAGCGCGGCAUCAUGCCACACUCCAUGCGCAUCGGGGGAAACAGUGCGGCAGCAGCCAGAGGGGUAUCUGAAGAAGCCCGCAAGGCCCAUGGUCGCUGGAAGACGGACGCAAUGGUUCAGCUAUAUACCCGGCUGGAAGACGAUGCCGCACUGGAAACCACGCGCAACCUGGGCCUCGCCUGAGUCAGAGGGCCCCUCCUGCUAUCUUUUCUGUCUGCAGUAGUGUAAGGCCCUUGGCAGCCCCGGUUUCGCCUCGCCCUGUCCUAUCCGGCACCCCGAACGCAACCAUACAGCAAGCCAUGAAGGCUAUAGGACAUAAUUGUAGCUUAGAUGCGGCAGGAGCAAAAGCGAGUAUAGCCUCUAAGCUAGGUUAUGUACGGCAGCCGUAUGGCUUGCUGAGAAUUCGAAUUCACUAUUUCAGCUGACAGCUCCAUAAUUCCGGCAUUCUGCCUACACUAUUGGAGCUUAUUAUUAUUGUUGCUCUCAUUGGGGCUCCUGGCAUUCCUGGACUUCGCCAAGGCCUAUGACACGGUGGAUCGUGGGUUCCUCCUGGCAGCAAUGGAGACCAUGGGUGCAGGGCCACAGCUCUGCGCCUGGAAACACGAGCCCAAGCGAUGGUGAAUGGCUACAAAUCGAAGCUGGUGAACAUGGAAGCAGGGGUACGGCAAGGGUGCCCCCUCACACCCUUGCUCUACCUCUUCGUUGCUCAGGCCCUACAAUGCUGGCUCCGGAGCCAAGACGUGGGGAUCAAAUUACAGCCAGCCGACUCACAACCAGUCACCGUGUGCCAAUAUGUGGAUGACACGGAAGUGGUGCUGCAGGGUGAAGACUCAGUACCAUCGUUCCUCCAGGCCAUGGACACCUUUGCCCGGGCAUCUGGCCAAUGCCUAAAUCUCGACAAAGUGGAGCUGCUGUGGAUUGGCCAAUUAAACCAACAGCAGGCGCAACCUGCAACCCAGGCCGGACCCCAAUCAGCUGCCCCUCAGCAGGAGUCAAGAGGAGGUCUCAAGGUGGUGACCACCGCCACCACCCUGAACCUGCCGAUUGACAACCAGCCAUCCCCGCCACAGCCCGACUGGAUGAAGAGACUCAGGGAAGCCAAGCAGCGACUGCAGCGGCUCUCCCGCUUCCCGCUAUCAGCAUUCGGUCGAGCCACAGCGGCAUCGGUGUACGGAAUGCAGACAGUCACCUGGCACAUGGAGCAUGGUGGGCCGCCCCCCAACAUUAUGCUGGACGAAAUAGAACGCCUAACGGCCCGCCUCGUCGACCGGCAGCAGGGCCCAGAAGACCCCGGCCGCCGCUUGACAGGGGUGCCUAAGGAUCUCUUGACUGGCCACCCGUCGGCUGGAGGCUUUGGCCUGCUGCCCCUCCAGCAACACAUCCAGGCUCGGCAUGUGGUAUGGGCUGUGCACUUCAUCAUAGCGGCCCUCGGGCUAUCUAACGCGUCAUGUGGGCCAGGGACAGGUGGAGCUGCAGGAACCACAGGUGGUACCGGGGGACACAGGAGGGCAGGUGGUGGUCUCCAUCCCUGGGUCCGGACGCUCUCCACCUAUAUGCUGCUCACCCACCCCACCUUCCAACCGUGGGCCCUGAUGACCGCCAGCCAAGCCGGGCCCCGACUCGGCAGAAGUGACCUACCCACGGAUAUCAGCCGGAUUGUGGGCGCCCUGGGACACCUACCACUGCUCCGGGAUAUCGAGACCAGCCCCCUGUCCCCUGGACCGUGGUGCUGGGCAACCGUGUUGUGGGGUAACCCGUUGCUCCCCAAUACCGGUGAGGCAGACCCAGACAGUUUGAACCGCCACCCGGGCCUGGAGACGCACUUCGUGGGGAUCGCUACAUGCAGGAAACUGCAAACGGUGG
rnacentral:lncRNA from 1 species